rnacentral:lncRNA from 1 species
GUCCCAGUCUCACUGUGUUGUUUGUGAAAAUGGCCAGCAUGAGGAAUUAUUAAUUAAAGCUAACAAAUCACCCUGACGAGCUGGGCUGUAGCAUGGCUGAAGGUUGAUUGGCGAAAGUGUUCUCCUUUGGAGAAAAGACUUUUUGUGCUCGUGACGCAGUCAGGGACGGAUUAUUGAAUAUUCAAGUUAGAAGAAAAAUCACAGGACAAGCAAAUUGAGUAUUUACUGGCAAAUAAUUGCUCUCUUAAGCUGUGGCUCUCUUCCUAAAUUCUUAACAUUCCCGUGGGUUAGAAAGAAACUCAGAAAAAUGCAUCGGUGCAGAGUACAUUUCAAAAAAAAUACAUAGACUGAUGUUUCAGAUUUGUGCAGAAUGUUUCACCAUCACUAACUUGAUAUUCCUCACAACAUUUCUGGCUGGAGUUUUCUGUGGAAAAGCAGGAAAAGGGAAGUGGAGGAGGAAGGCAUCCUUCCAUAUCCUGUGAUAAACCCACCAAGGGUCACUACUUUCGGUAAGAGUCUGGAAAGAAACUGCCAGAGGACACAUCUGAACCUUGCAGUGGCUGGCACUUUUCCUCAACGUUGUGAGAAAAAGAGAAUUAGCUGGAAUAAAAUCUUGCUUUCCAUAUGGUGAACUUGAAAUGCAGCAUUGAACAGUUCCUUGACCAUCAGUUUGUCACCUGCCCCUUCUCUUUAUGAUAAGUCUAAAGCAGUGGAACUACCACGGUAAUAUGUAUACAUUAAUAAACUGUCUUCCAGUAAAGUUGUGUCAAUUUAUACUUGCACCAACAAACAAAAAAAAUACUGCCCAAUUUUUCUGCAUUUUCACUAAUUCUCAAAUAUAACUUUUGUCAUAUAAAUGAGUAUUUUCAUGUUGGGAGUAUGAGAUGUAUUUUCC